UACAGAGGGUGCGAGCGUUGUUCGGAAUUACUGGGCGUAAAGAGCUCGUAGGUGGUUUGUCGCGUUGUUCGUGAAAACUCACAGCUCAACUGUGGGCGUGCGGGCGAUACGGGCAGACUGGAGUACUGCAGGGGAGACUGGAAUUCCUGGUGUAGCGGUGGAAUGCGCAGAUAUCAGGAGGAACACCGGUGGCGAAGGCGGGUCUCUGGGCAGUAACUGACGCUGAGGAGCGAAAGCGUGGGGAGCGAACAGG
rnacentral:rRNA from 1 species